rnacentral:lncRNA from 1 species
AAAUGCUGGUAGGAGCUGGGGUAGAGGAGGGGGCAUUGGGGCCACACCUGGAAGGAUGAGGUCCCCACUCUGAGAAGGAAGAUAGGCAAUGCAGCUGAAGGAUACAGCCGUGCAGAGACUCAUGGUCACAUAGGAAGGGGGGACUGAUGUGUGUGCAGAGGCUACAAAGGUGGGUUCUAGGCCUAGGAGAGUUGUGUGUUCAUGUAUAAGGCAUUUGGAAGCUGGUAAAGGAUUUUAAACUGGGAAGUGACAGGGCAGUUUUUUAUGUCUUGAGGGUGGUGAUGGCAGCACUACAUGGAAUAGAUUGGAGAUAAGAAAGAACAGUGGCAGGGGUGCUUAUGAUCGCUCUUUGACAGACCUACUGUGAGAGCUGCGUAUGGUCCAAACUGUGUCUGGUCGCUGGGCCCAGAAAUCAGUGUCUGGGUUUCAGAGAUGAGGCAAACAGGACUUGUAACUGUUAGAACAGGGGUGGAGAUGGGAUGGGUAAUGAAUGAAGGAGGAAUCACAGAGGAUCUUGAGGGGAUUCUCUCUCAGAUACAGCAUCAGAGAUCAGGAGGAAGAGUGUUUGGGGAAAGGUGAGUUUUGUUUUGAACAUUAGAGAGUGCCUGGUCGAACAGUUAGGUCAUUUUGCAAAUGAGACUGAGCCAAAAGAAAUUAUAGAUCAAGUUCAGGGACUUGUCUGAACUUACAGCAUAUUGGAGCAAAGCCUCACCUUGAACACAGAUUUCCUAGAUUUCCUGUCUGUUGUUCUUUCAGGACAGUUACUUCAUUUAAAAAGUGAGGAGACAGUGGUGGGACGUGCAGCAGAGAUGCUGGAAUGCCAAGGCACGCAGGCUCUAAAAUAUGACCCCACGCUGCACUCAGACGACCAGGCACUUUGGAGGUUAUGUAACACAUGAGGAGACAAGCCCAAAGAGACACAGACUCGUCCAGCAGGAGCUGGCCGCCCCGGCCUUACGACUGGCUCUUCAGACCUUCAGUCCAUGCAGCUCUCUGUUUCACUCAAAUCGAGGAUGGACUCAGGCAAGUUGGAGGAGAUGGAAGCUUUAUAUGAACAAAACCAGUCUGAUGUGUAAGUUUUGAUGAGAUUGAUUUUUUUAAAGAUUUUUUAUUUAUUUGAGAGAGAGAGAGCACGAGCACGGGCAAAGAGCAAAGGGAGAGGGAGAAGUAGGCUCCCCGCUGAGCAGGGAAUCUGACAUGGGGCUCAAUCCCAGGACCUCAAGAUCAUGACCUGAACCAAAGGCAGACACCCAGCCAACUGAGCCACCCAGGCACCCCUAAUGAGAUUGAUAUUUUAAAGCAACUUAAGAAAUAUGAUACUGAAAUCAGAUAAUGUUCCAUCAGUUUUUAGAUAUGAUUUUUUUCUAAUUCUCUGUGAGCCUGCUCAUACUGUAGCUAUACAGGACUGAGGGGGUUUGUGUUGAUCGCCCUAAAUCUAUGGGGAUUCAAAUAGUGCAUGGUCCAUAGCAGAUGCUCAGUAAAUAUUUAUUUGAAUGAUAUGACUUGGAAGAUAUUAGAGUGAAUCUAAAAGAGAUGAGACAGGAGCAAAUAAAAAUCCUAACAAAGUGAAACCUAUAGUUUCC